rnacentral:lncRNA from 1 species
GCCCAAAAAUUGUGGCUCACAGCACGAUCCGAUGGCUGAGGUGCAAUCUGGGCAAUGUUUUGCAUGAUUUGAAGGCUAGGAUGCAAGCGAUCAAAAUCCAAUAGUCAAAAAAGGUUGUUUAAUCCUUUUGAAGGUGGGAUUUCAACAUAGGCUGGGUUUAAUACCUAUGAAAGUUCCUGAUGGCCUGUGAAGUUGGGAGCAGGCAUAAAAUAGCAACAGUGAGGUC